ACACGAAGCAGCUUUAGUUACAUAUUAAGUAGGACGGGACACGUGUUAUCUUGUCUGAAGAUGGGGGGACCAUCCUCCAAGGCUAAAUACUCCUGACUGACCGAUAGUGAACCAGUACCGUGAGGGAAAGGCGAAAAGAACCCCUGUGAGGGGAGUGAAAUAGAUCCUGAAACCGUAUGCGUACAAGCAGUGGGAGCAGACUUGUUCUGUGACUGCGUACCUUUUGUAUAAUGGGUCAGCGACUUAAUUUUAGUAGCAAGGUUAACCGUAUAGGGGAGCCGUAGGGAAACCGAGUCUUAAUAGGGCGCACAGUUGCUAGGAUUAGACCCGAAACCGAGUGAUCUAUCCAUGAGCAGGUUGAAGGUUAGGUAACACUGACUGGAGGACCGAACCCACUGUCGUUGAAAAGCCAGGGGAUGACUUGUGGAUAGGAGUGAAAGGCUAAUCAAACUCGGAGAUAGCUGGUUCUCCUCGAAAGCUAUUUAGGUAGCGCCUCGUGUAUCACCCUAGGGGGUAGAGCACUGUUUGGGCUAGGGGGUCAUCCCGACUUACCAACCCCAUGCAAACUCCGAAUACCUAGGAGUGCGAGCACGGGAGACACACGGCGGGUGCUAACGUCCGUCGUGGAGAGGGCAACAACCCAGACCGCCAGCUAAGGUCCCAAAUUCAUAGUUAAGUGGGAAACGAUGUGGGAAGGCUUAGACAGCUAGGAGGUUGGCUUAGAAGCAGCCACCCUUUAAAGAAAGCGUAAUAGCUCACUAGUCGAGUCGGCCUGCGCGGAAGAUUUAACGGGGCUCAAACUAUGAACCGAAGCUGCGGAUAUAGAUUUAUCUAUAUGGUAGAGGAGCGUUCUGUACGCUGUUGAAGGUGAAUCGAGAGGUUUGCUGGAGGUAUCAGAAGUGCGAAUGCUGACAUGAGUAACGAUAAGGGGGGUGAAAAACCUCCCCGCCGGAAGACCAAGGGUUCCUGCGCAACGCUAAUCGGCGCAGGGUGAGUCGGCCCCUAAGGCGAGGCUGAGAAGCGUAGUCGAUGGGAAACAGGUUAAUAUUCCUGUACUUCUUUAUAUUGCGAUGGAGAGACGGAGAAAGCUAGGCCAGCAUGGCGAUGGUUGUCCAUGUUUAAGGUUGUAGGCUGGGGACUUAGGCAAAUCCGGGUCCCUAAGGCUGAGAACUGAUGACGAGAUCCUACGGGAUUGAAGUGGUUGAUGCUCUGCUUCCAGGAAAAACUUCUAAGCUUCAGAUAUAAAGGAACCGUACCCCAAACCGACACAGGUGGUCAGGUAGAGAAUACCAAGGCGCUUGAGAGAACUCGGGUGAAGGAACUAGGCAAAAUGGUACCGUAACUUCGGGAGAAGG
rnacentral:ncRNA from 1 species